rnacentral:lncRNA from 1 species
AAGAUGAAAGAAAAGAGAGAAGAGAGAAUAACAAACUUCCACUACUCUGCUAAAACGGUUACAGCAAAAUGGUUGCACACAUACUGCACUAUAAUACUCAGCGGAUACAAUUGUUGACAGCUACAGUACUAUAUACACACAAAUAAUAAUGCCACAUAAACAACAUGCUAACCUACACUAGCUAGGUUAAGCUUAACAAAACAAAUACUAAUAAUGCUGAAGAUGAAUUACUUCUAACACCAUCCCUUAAUUCAUAUU